GGAGGGUGCGAGCGUUGUCCGGAUUUAUUGGGUUUAAAGGGUGCGUAGGUGGCUGUUUAAGUCAGUGGUGAAAUACGGUUGCUCAACAAUCGAGGUGCCAUUGAUACUGAAUAGCUUGAAAUAAUUGGAGGCUGCCGGAAUGGAUGGUGUAGCGGUGAAAUGCAUAGAUAUCAUCCAGAACACCGAUUGCGAAGGCAGGUGGCUACGAUUGGUUUGACACUGAGGCACGAAAGCAUGGGGAGCAAACAGGAUUAGAUACCCUGGUAGUCCAUGCUGUAAACGAUGAGGACUCGUUGUUUGGCUGCAAAGCUGAGCGACUUAGGGAAACCGUUAAGUCCUCCACCUGGGGAGUACGCCGGCAACGGUGAA
rnacentral:rRNA from 1 species